rnacentral:rRNA from 1 species
CUUGACAACCUACUUGGAUAACUGUGGUAAUUCUAGAGCUAAUACAUGCACCAAAGCUCCGAUCCUCGCGGAGAGGAGCGCAUUUGUUCGCCACAAAACCAAGCGCCCAUCUGGGCGUCCAGUGCUGAACCAGAACAACUCAGCUGAUCGCACGGUCUUGUACCGGCGACGUGUCUUUCAAGUGUCUGCCUUAUCAACUUUCGAUGGUAGUGUACCUGACUACCAUGGUUGUGACGGGUAACGGAGGAUAAGGGUUCGACUCCGGAGAAGGGGCCUGAGAAAUGGCCACUACGUCUAAGGAUGGCAGCAGGCGCGCAAAUUACCCACUCUCAACGCGAGGAGGUAGUGACGAGAAAUAACGAGACCGUUCUCAUACGAGGCCGGUUAUUGGAAUGGGUACAAUUUAAA